UUCAACCAACCACAAUAUAAACGUAGUUGAACAAAUAGAGAAAUCCAAUGGCUCAAUUAUAUAAAACCAUAAUAAGAAUUUAUCUUACAAAAGGUUCUAUCAAAACUCUAGAUAACAAAUUAGCUAUUCAUAAUAGUAUGCAUAACUACAAUACUAGAAUUCAUAACCAAUAAUGGAAAUAAGAAGAAGGAAGUGAAAAACUCGUAGAAGAAUUCUCCGCCUUGCUCCUAGUGUGUUCUUGCAUCCUUAGGUUGAAUCUCCGGUCUAAUGUCGGUCUCUCGGUCUGUCCAAUCCCCCUCAAAAGUGGCGUUUUUAGGUCUAUUUAUAUGUGUAGGAAAAUACCUAAACGUGUAGGCAAAGUCCUAGUCAAACCCGGAGAUGAAGUAAGUCUUCAAAACUCGGACUGUGCGCCCCCAGACCUGGACGCGCGAGGCCUAACGCCUGGUAGACCUCGCCCCAGGCCUGGCGUCGCCAGGUAUAAAGCCUGGUCAAUCUCGCUUCUGCCUCGCCUCGCCGGGUCUAUCGCCCGCUACAUGCCUGGCGUCGCCAGGUAUAAGGCCUGCUCUAGGCCUGGCUUCGCCAGCUAUAACACCUGGUGUAGGCCUGGCUUCACCAGCUUCUCCUUUUCAAUUGCUCUCGAGCACGCUUUCGACUUUUAAGUAUCCCCUUUUCUCUACUUUCAUCUCCAAUUUACCUACAUAUAAAAUGGCCUUCAAUACGGGCAAAUAAAGUAUAAUUUAUCAUUAAAGCGUAUAGAAUGCAAGGCGAAUAGUGUGCUAAACUAUGAAUUAUAGCCACACAUCAAGACACAUCAAAGAAAAUCACAUAAUUGCAGAGCAGAUUCAGAGCAAAUACAACCCAAAUUGACACAACCCAGAUAGACACAAAUUCAAACCACAAAUGGGAAAAAUCAAAAGGGAGUGCAAAUAACAAACCUGAGAUCUUUGGAGCAUCAAAAAGGACGAACUUGGUGGAACAAUGGUGAAAUCAUCGCCGGCGACAACCACCACAAAAGGGACGAUCAGUUGGAAUCACCUAGCCGAUUUCAAUGCUCACUUAGCUUAGCUUUUCAUUUCUAUCUGCUUUUCCUUUUAAGACCUUCUUGUCUUGUUAGACUUUUAUCCUUUUAUUAAUAAAAUAGCCACUAGGAGGUACACAAC
rnacentral:lncRNA from 1 species